rnacentral:tRNA from 1 species
AUUUGGGUGGCAGAGCCCGGCAUUGCAAAAGCGCUAAGUACUUUAAACAGAGGUUCAAGUCCUCUCCCUUUUA